GUAUCUCUAGCCUAGUGGUAGCGUGUUGUGUUAGCAAUCCAAAUUUGUCGGUAUGGGUUGAAGGUUCGAUUCCUUUUAGGUUCU